UGGGGAAUAUUGGACAAUGGGCGCAAGCCUGAUCCAGCCAUGCCGCGUGUGUGAAGAAGGCCUUCGGGUUGUAAAGCACUUUUGUCCGGAAAGAAAAGCUUCGGGUUAAUACCCCGGGGUCCUGACGGUACCGGAAGAAUAAGCACCGGCUAACUUCGUGCCAGCAGCCGCGGUAAUACGAGGGGUGCAAGCGUUACUCGGAAUUACUGGGCGUAAAGCGUGCGUAGGUGGUUUGUUAAGUCUGAUGUGAAAGCCCUGGGCUCAACCUGGGAAUGGCAUUGGAUACUGGCGAGCUAGAGUGCGGUAGAGGGUAGUGGAAUUCCCGGUGUAGCAGUGAAAUGCGUAGAGAUCGGGAGGAACAUCUGUGGCGAAGGCGACUACCUGGACCAGCACUGACACUGAGGCACGAAAGCGUGGGGAGCAAACAGGAUUAGAUACCCUGGUAGUCCACGCCCUAAACGAUGCGAACUGAAUGUUGGGAGCAAUUAGGCUC
rnacentral:rRNA from 1 species